rnacentral:rRNA from 1 species
AGAGUUUGAUCAUGGCUCAGAACGAACGCUGGCGGCAGGCUUAACACAUGCAAGUCGAGCGCCCCGCAAGGGGAGCGGCAGACGGGUGAGUAACGCGUGGGAACAUACCCUUUGGUUCGGAAUAACUCAGGGAAACUUGAGCUAAUACCGGAUACGUCCGUAAGGAGAAAGAUUUAUCGCCAAAGGAUUGGCCCGCGUCCGAUUAGCUAGUUGGUGAGGUAACGGCUCACCAAGGCUACGAUCGGUAGCUGGUCUGAGAGGAUGAUCAGCCACAUUGGGACUGAGACACGGCCCAAACUCCUACGGGAGGCAGCAGUGGGGAAUAUUGGACAAUGGGCGCAAGCCUGAUCCAGCCAUGCCGCGUGAGUGAUGAAGGCCUUAGGGUUGUAAAGCUCUUUUGUCCGGGAAGAUAAUGACUGUACCGGAAGAAUAAGCCCCGGCUAACUUCGUGCCAGCAGCCGCGGUAAUACGAAGGGGGCUAGCGUUGUUCGGAAUCACUGGGCGUAAAGCGCACGUAGGCGGACCGUUAAGUCGGAGGUGAAAGCCUGGGGCUCAACCCCAGAACUGCCUUCGAUACUGGCGGUCUUGAGUAUGGUAGAGGUUGGUGGAACUCCGAGUGUAGAGGUGAAAUUCGUAGAUAUUCGGAAGAACACCAGUGGCGAAGGCGGCCAACUGGACCAUUACUGACGCUGAGGUGCGGAAGCGUGGGGAGCAAACAGGAUUAGAUACCCUGGUAGUCC